GAGUUUGAUCCUGGCUCAGAUUGAACGCUGGCGGCAGGCCUAACACAUGCAAGUCGAGCGGAUGACGGGAGCUUGCUCCUUGAUUCAGCGGCGGACGGGUGAGUAAUGCCUGGGAAUCUGCCUGGUAGUGGGGGACAACGUUUCGAAAGGAACGCUAAUACCGCAUACGUCCUACGGGAGAAAGCAGGGGACCUUCGGACCUUGCGCUAUCAGAUGAGCCUAGGUCGGAUUAGCUAGUUGGUGGGGUAAUGGCUCACCAAGGCGACGAUCCGUAACUGGUCUGAGAGGAUGAUCAGUCACACUGGAACUGAGACACGGUCCAGACUCCUACGGGAGGCAGCAGUGGGGAAUAUUGGACAAUGGGCGAAAGCCUGAUCCAGCCAUGCCGCGUGUGUGAAGAAGGUCUUCGGAUUGUAAAGCACUUUAAGUUGGGAGGAAGGGCAGUAAGUUAAUACCUUGCUGUUUUGACGUUACCGACAGAAUAAGCACCGGCUAACUCUGUGCCAGCCGCCG
rnacentral:rRNA from 1 species